URCCUUUUGCAUCAUGUUACUCCUAGUACUAGGGUUAAUUCUUUUACCGAAAAGGCCAGAUCUUUUAGUGUGUUGUUUCGUCGUUUAUCGUGGGUAACUGGGUAAACACACUAAGUGGGGCGAUAAGUUAGGCGUUGGUCUUUAUAGCUGUUUUAUGAGGAGGCUUUCGGGUUAGUGCGAGAGUGAGGAGAUUCUCGCACAGGCUAUAUCCUUUCUAUUUUGAGGRGUUACUAGGGUUGAGAUUACCCAUGUUUAUUGAGUGUGUUACUACUCUGUCGGUCGGUAAGAGGCAUUAGCGUUGUUUACUCAUUGUAACUUAACAGGUUGAAGUCAUUUUUGGUUUAAUUAGUAAUUAUAGCAAUAGUAAUUUUUCUCGAGUUUAGCCCAACUGUUUAUUAAAAACAUUUUUGCUUGAUUUAUUCUAAGCAAUAAGACCUGCCCGGUGUUAAUAUUAACGGCCGCAGUAUUAUGACUGUGCGAAGGUAGCAUAAUUAAUUGCCCCAUAAUUGGGGGCUUGUCUGAAUGGUUUAAUGCGGUUAUAAUUAAAAUUAUUAUUAUAUGUGAAUUUAAUUUUGUGAGUACAGAAUCUACAGAAUUUAGUAAGACGGAAAGACCCCAGGAUCUUUUAUUUUUGUCUGGGGCAGAUUAGGGUUUUUUACCUUAUUUAGGACCCUUUGGUUAGAGAGUUAAGUUACCCUGGGGAUAACAGAGUGAUACCUCAUUAGAGACCCUAUCGAAUGAGUUGUUUGCUACCUCGAUGUUGACUUGGGGCUACUUAAUGGCGCAGUCGUUAUUAAGUGUGGUCUGUUCGACCAAAAA
rnacentral:rRNA from 1 species